GAUGAAGAACGUAGCGAAAUGCGAUAAGUAGUGUGAAUUGCAGAAUUCCGUGAAUCAUCGAAUCUUUGAACGCACAUUGCGCCUUCUGGUAUUCCGGAAGGCAUGCCUGUUCGAGAGUCAUUAACAACCGUUUCGAUCCCUUUCUUUCAGAAAUUACAAAGAGGAAAAGGGUUUGGUUAUGGUGGAGGAGGGAAAGGGAGCGUUUAGCCUGUAAAAAAAGAGGCUGUGUUCCGCCUCCCCCCCAAAAUUGUACAGGCGGUCGUGUGCGCCCACGCAUCGAGGUGUUGUAACAGCUGCCACGGCACUUUUCACCUGUGCAGUGCGAGAUUGGCCAGCCGGUUUAAAAACCCCUCCAAACAAUCAAAGGUUGACCUCGGAUCAGGUAGGGAUACCCGCUGAACUUAAGCAUAUCAAUAAGCGGAGGA
rnacentral:misc_RNA from 1 species